rnacentral:rRNA from 1 species
CAGUAGCGCGGGAAUACAGAGGGUGCAAGCGUUAAUCGGAAUUACUGGGCGUAAAGCGCGCGUAGGUGGUUUGUUAAGUUGGAUGUGAAAUCCCCGGGCUCAACCUGGGAACUGCAUCCAAAACUGGCAAGCUAGAGUAUGGUAGAGGGUGGUGGAAUUUCCUGUGUAGCGGUGAAAUGCGUAGAUAUAGGAAGGAACACCAGUGGCGAAGGCGACCACCUGGACUGAUACUGACACUGAGGUGCGAAAGCGUGGGGAGCAAACAGGAUUAGAUACCCCUGUAGUCCCUGUCUCUUAUACA